rnacentral:rRNA from 1 species
GGGGAAUAUUGGACAAUGGGCGAAAGCCUGAUCCAGCCAUGCCGCGUGUGUGAAGAAGGCCUUUUGGUUGUAAAGCACUUUAAGUGGGGAGGAAAAGCUUAUGGUUAAUACCCAUAAGCCCUGACGUUACCCACAGAAUAAGCACCGGCUAACUCUGUGCCAGCAGCCGCGGUAAUACAGAGGGUGCAAGCGUUAAUCGGAAUUACUGGGCGUAAAGCGCGCGUAGGUGGUUAUUUAAGUCAGAUGUGAAAGCCCCGGGCUUAACCUGGGAACUGCAUCUGAUACUGGAUAACUAGAGUAGGUGAGAGGGAAGUAGAAUUCCAGGUGUAGCGGUGAAAUGCGUAGAGAUCUGGAGGAAUACCGAUGGCGAAGGCAGCUCCCUGGCAUCAUACUGACACUGAGGUGCGAAAGCGUGGGUAGCAAACAGGAUUAGAUACCCUGGUAGUCCACGCCGUAAACGAUGUCUACCAGUCGUUGGGUCUUUUAAAGACUUAGUGACGCAGUUAACGCAAUAAGUAGACCGCCUGGGGAGUACGGCCGCAAGGUUA